rnacentral:lncRNA from 1 species
GAACGGUACAAAUUCACCCACACAAUCAGUCUAAACAGGUAACGAUCGGAUGACUCUCCUCGCUCCAUGUCGACAAGAAAGAAUAGUCCAGAUUGACGCAAAAUGAGUAUAAAAAAAUCAUAUCAUAGAGGAACCCUAACCAUAGUCGUUCUGCCCUCGUCGGAGAAGAAGGACCAGCUGCUGAAGAAGAAGGCUGACCGCCAAUCGCCGCCGCACCAGAGCCUCCGGCGACUGCCAAAAAAGGUAAAAUUUGCCCCUACCCGCUUGAAAUUUGAUUUCGAGCCUUCCUGUAGCCAUAUCAGAGUAAAAGAGAAGACGGGUGAGGUAGAAAUCGCAAACAAAACUCGUUGGAGCUGCCGCGGCCAAAACCCAAAACUCCCUCUAAUAAGCCCCUUUAUGUUUUCCGUUUUACGUGAUUUUUUGGUCAUUGUGUUCAUCGUCUUUUUCUGUGCAAGUUAACUGAAGAAGAAACU